UUCGAAGUAGCUCAGAGACUAGAGCGCAUGGCUGAUAAUCAUGAGGUCAGAGGUUUGAGUCCUCUCUUCGUAG
rnacentral:tRNA from 1 species